AACGUACGUUCGGGGGAGGAUUUUGUCCAGGGAGUAGGUGAAUCGGGAUGCCCUCAGCCCGCGCUUCAUGGCCGAGACGGCCAUGUCCCCAUUGAGGUCCCGAACCUCGAGCGUGGCCGUGUUGAAUCACGCCACGAAGUGUCGGAGCGUCUCAUUUUCCCCUUGUUUAAGAGAGAGAAGGCUGUCCGAUGUUCGGGGCGGCUUUCGGCUGGUGCUGAAGUGGGCCACGAAGGAGUGCUCAAGCUGUCCGA
rnacentral:lncRNA from 1 species